rnacentral:rRNA from 1 species
AUUGAACGCUGGCGGCAGGCCUAACACAUGCAAGUCGAGCGGAUGAAGGGAGCUUGCUCCUGGAUUCAGCGGCGGACGGGUGAGUAAUGCCUAGGAAUCUGCCUGGUAGUGGGGGAUAACGUCCGGAAACGGGCGCUAAUACCGCAUACGUCCUGAGGGAGAAAGUGGGGGAUCUUCGGACCUCACGCUAUCAGAUGAGCCUAGGUCGGAUUAGCUAGUUGGUGGGGUAAAGGCCUACCAAGGCGACGAUCCGUAACUGGUCUGAGAGGAUGAUCAGUCAAAACGGAACUGAGAACAGGUUCCGAAUCCCAAGGGAGGCAGGAGGGGGGAAUAUUGGAACAUGGGCGAAAGCCUGAUCCAGCCAUGCCGCGUGUGUGAAGAAGGUCUUCGGAUUGUAAAGCACUUUAAGUUGGGAGGAAGGGCAGUAAGUUAAUACCUUGCUGUUUUGACGUUACCAACAGAAUAAGCACCGGCUAACUUCGUG